UCGCGGCUUAUCACCGGCAGUCCCCUUAGAGUGCCCAACUAAAUGAUGGCAACUAAGAUUAAGGGUUGCGCUCGUUGCGGGACUUAACCCAACACCUCACGGCACGAGCUGACGACAGCCAUGCAGCAUCUGUGCACGCUCCCUCGCGGGUCCCUUCCCUUACAGGUUGGUACCACGUGCAUGUCAAGCCGAGGUAAGGUCCUGCGCGUUGCAUCGAAUUAAACCACACGCUCCGCUGCUUGUGCGGGCCCCCGUCAAUUCCUUUGAGUUUCAGCCUUGCGGCCGUACUCCCCAGGCGGGGCACUUCAUGCGUUAGCGCCGGUACCCCGGGGGUCGCUCCCCAAAGCACCUAGUGCCCAUCGUUUACGGCGUGGACUAC
rnacentral:misc_RNA from 1 species